GACGAACCCUUGCGGCGUGCUUAACACAUGCAAGUCGAACGGAAAGGCCCUGCUUUUGUGGGGUGCUCGAGUGGCGAACGGGUGAGUAACACGUGAGUAACCUGCCCUUGACUUUGGGAUAACUUCAGGAAACUGGGGCUAAUACCGGAUAGGAGCUCCUGCUGCAUGGUGGGGGUUGGAAAGUUUCGGCGGUUGGGGAUGGACUCGCGGCUUAUCAGCUUGUUGGUGGGGUAGUGGCUUACCAAGGCUUUGACGGGUAGCCGGCCUGAGAGGGUGACCGGCCACAUUGGGACUGAGAUACGGCCCAGACUCCUACGGGAGGCAGCAGUGGGGAAUAUUGCACAAUGGGCGGAAGCCUGAUGCAGCAACGCCGCGUGCGGGAUGACGGCCUUCGGGUUGUAAACCGCUUUCGCCUGUGACGAAGCGUGAGUGACGGUAAUGGGUAAAGAAGCACCGGCUAACUACGUGCCAGCAGCCGCGGUGAUACGUAGGGUGCGAGCGUUGUCCGGAUUUAUUGGGCGUAAAGGGCUCGUAGGUGGUUGAUCGCGUCGGAAGUGUAAUCUUGGGGCUUAACCCUGAGCGUGCUUUCGAUACGGGUUGACUUGAGGAAGGUAGGGGAGAAUGGAAUUCCUGGUGGAGCGGUGGAAUGCGCAGAUAUCAGGAGGAACACCAGUGGCGAAGGCGGUUCUCUGGGCCUUUCCUGACGCUGAGGAGCGAAAGCGUGGGGAGCGAACAGGCUUAGAUACCCUGGUAGUCCACGCUGUAAACGGUGGGUACUAGGUGUGGGGUCCAUUCCACGGGUUCCGUGCCGUAGCUAACGCUUUAAGUACCCCGCCUGGGGAGUACGGCCGCAAGGCUAAAACUCAAAGGAGUUGACGGGGCCCCGCACAAGCGGCGGAGCAUGCGGAUUAAUUCGAUGCAACGCGUAGAACCUUACCUGGGUUUGACAUGGAUCGGGAGUGCUCAGAGAUGGGUGUGCCUCUUUUGGGGUCGGUUCACAGGUGGUGCAUGGCUGUCGUCAGCUCGUGUCGUGAGAUGUUGGGUUAAGUCCCGCAACGAGCGCAACCCUUGUUCACUGUUGCCAGCACGUUAUGGUGGGGACUCAGUGGAGACCGCCGGGGUCAACUCGGAGGAAGGUGGGGAUGACGUCAAGUCAUCAUGCCCCUUAUGUCCAGGGCUUCACGCAUGCUACAAUGGCUGGUACAGAGAGUGGCGAGCCUGUGAGGGUGAGCGAAUCUCGGAAAGCCGGUCUCAGUUCGGAUUGGGGUCUGCAACUCGACCUCAUGAAGUCGGAGUCGCUAGUAAUCGCAGAUCAGCAACGCUGCGGUGAAUACGUUCCCGGG
rnacentral:rRNA from 1 species